rnacentral:rRNA from 1 species
GAACUUUCAACAACGGAUCUCUUGGCUCUCGCAUCGAUGAAGAGCGCAGCGAAAUGCGAUAAGUAGUGUGAAUUGCAGAACUUUGUGAACCAUCGAAUCUUUGAACGCAAAUUGCGCCUUCUUUCGGAAGGCAUGUCUGUUUGAGGGCAC